UAGUGGCGGACGGGUGAGUAACGCGUGGAUAACCUGCCGUAUACCGGGGGAUAACACUUAGAAAUAGGUGCUAAUACCGCAUAAGCGCACGGCUCCGCAUGGGGCAGUGUGAAAAACUCCGGUGGUAUACGAUGGAUCCGCGUCUGAUUAGCUAGUUGGCGGGGUAACGGCCCACCAAGGCAGCGAUCAGUAGCCGGCCUGAGAGGGUGGACGGCCACAUUGGGACUGAGACACGGCCCAAACUCCUACGGGAGGCAGCAG
rnacentral:rRNA from 1 species